AAAAAGCAUUGAGCUCAAAUGUUGUGAAAGAAAAAUACAUGAGAAAAAGAAAAGAAAAGAAGAAAAAACAUGAAGAUGGGCUCAAUGCAAAAGAAAAGGAAAAAAGUUGGGAAUAAGUGAGAUUGGUGAGGAAGAGAGUUGUGCUUAAAUGUUGAAUACUAUGAUAGCUCUCUUAACUCAAGGACUUUGCACUCCAGAAAAACCAAUUCUUCUUGUUAGCCCAGCCUCAUUACAAGCCUUGGAAAAGUCCUUUUGAUGGCAUUUGCAUGUAAGAAUUUUUGUUGUUUUAGAUGAAUGGAAAUGUUAUUUCAUGUGACUUGUGAAUGAUAGAGUGUUGGAGUGUUACCCUAAACACUUGAGUGAUUGAGUGAAAC
rnacentral:lncRNA from 1 species